AUUGAACGCUGGCGGCAUGCCUUACACAUGCAAGUCGAACGGCAGCACGGGGCAACCUGGUGGCGAGUGGCGAACGGGUGGGUAAUGCAUCGGAACGUGCCAUUGAGUGGGGGAUAACGUAGCGAAAGUUGCGCUAAUACCGCAUAUUCUGUGAGCAGGAAAGCAGGGGACCGCAAGGCCUUGCGCUCUUUGAGCGGCCGAUGUCAGAUUAGCUAGUUGGUGAGGUAACGGGCUUACCAAGGCGACGAUCUGUAGCGGGUCUGAGAGGAUGAUCCGCCACACUGGAACUGAGACACGGUCCAGACUCCUACGGGAGGCAGCAGUGGGGAAUUUUGGGACAAUGGGCGCAAGCCUGAUCCAGCCAUGCCGCGUGAGUGAAGAAGGCC
rnacentral:rRNA from 1 species